rnacentral:tRNA from 1 species
GGUGAGGUAGUUCAGUUGGUUAGAAUACAGGCCUGUCACGCCGGGGUCUGUGGAUUCCAGUCCCGUCCGCACCGCCA